GAAAUCGCGACAGGAAAAACGAUAGCCGGUUAGUCACCGCAUAAUCCUUAAACCGAAAGUAAACCUAGGUCUUGCCCUAAACCCAGCGCACUGGUCUCUAACAUCUCAAAGGCAUGAUAUCAAAAGAUACGAGAUUCUUAAACCACGCCUCUAUGUUUACGUUCGAUACCUUCAGCACCCCCGCAGAGUUCACAUCUCGCGGAAGAACUCUCGAAACAGGUCUCGAAUAAAACAUUCCACAAUUGAAGAAGGAUAUGAGACGACAACUCAUCACCUUCCUCCCCACUAUUCACAAAUUCAUAAAAAGCGUUAUCCGGUUAUCAUAUCAUAAAGCCGCAGAGCGGCAGGGAUUCAAAGCCACACACGGCCAGUCCCGAAAUACAAAC
rnacentral:lncRNA from 1 species